rfam:Triticum urartu cultivar G1812 contig97562, whole genome shotgun sequence.
UAUAUACUCCCUCCAUCCGAAAAUACUUGUCAUCAAAAUGGAUAAAAAAAGAUGUAUCUAGAAUUAAAAUACGUCUAGAUACAUCCCUUUUUAUUCAUUUCAAUGACCAGUAUUUCCGGACAAAGGGAGUACUAC